GGAAUUCUCCACGCCAGAAUAGUGGAGUGGGUAGCCUUUCCCUUCUCCAGGGGAUCUUCCCAAUCCUGGGAUCGAACCCAGGUCUCCCAUAUUUACCUGAAGAGUGGCCUCAGAUGGAGACUCAAAGAACCAGACACUGCAGGAAUGCCAAGAAUGACCUGGGGAACCACAGUUUGGGUAUUUACUUGGAUUCCAGUACCCACUCACUGAAUGACUUAAAAACAUGCCAUUUCCCUUAUGACUGUCCAUUUGUUAUUAAGCAAUAUUUAAGAAAUAAUAAUGUGUAUUGUUAUGGGAAAAUUAUGCCCCUGUCAGAACAUAAUUUCUCUGAUAGCAUGUACAUUAGAAGUCAGUAAAUCUUUGCUGAAUGAAAGCAAAUAUGAGAUAAAAGAAUUCUGGGAAAAUCUGGUCUGGUUGUAAUAUUAUGUUUUGAAAUGACAGAUAGGAACUACUAUUCCAGGAGACAAUGUACUUAGUC
ensembl:lncRNA